GCUCUGAGGCCUCACCAUACAGCAGCUGUAAUCUCGGAGAUUUGUUCUUCUUUGCCAAUUUGCUUAUCAAAACAACCAAUCAGUGAUCUUGAGGAGUUGGUGCUCAGCAGUUAUGGCUUCGGAUUACUGCUUUUAACACCACAAGAACUAUGGGUAGUUCCUCGCCUUACCAAUUUAUUAUUGCCAACCCACAACUAAUAGCAGUCACUAA